UGGCGCGUGCAGAGGACCGCCCUAUUGGUUGUAAACCUGCUUUGUAUGGGAGCAAUAAGUCUAUGCGUAGACUGAUGAGAGUACCAUACGAUAGCAUCGGCUACUCCGUGCCAGCAGCCGCGGUAAUACGGGGGAUGCAGCGUUAUCCGGGAUUUAUUGGGUUUAAAGGGUGCGUAGGCGGUUUUGAUAAGUCAGCGGUGAAAUAUUUCAGCUUAACUGAAAGGGUGCCGUUGAUACUGUCAGGCUUGAAUAUGGUUGCUGUGGGUGGAAUGUGUGGUGUAGCGGUGAAAUGCUUAGAUAUCACACAGAAUAUCGAUUGCGAAGGCAGCUCACAAAGCCAUUAUUGACGCUGAUGCACGAAAGUGUGGGGAUCAAACAGGAUUAGAUACCCUGGUAGUCCACACUGUAAACGAUGAUAACUCGCUGUCGGCGAUACACAGUCGGUAGCCAAGCGAAAGCGAUAAGUUAUCCACCUGGGGAGUACGACCGCAAGGUUGAAACUCAAAGGAAUUGACGGGGGCCCGCACAAGCGGAGGAACAUGUGGUUUAAUUCGAUGAUACGCGAGGAACCUUACCCGGGCUCGAACGGUGCAGGAAUAUGACAGAGAUGUCAUAGCUAGCAAUAGUCUGUAUCGAGGUGCUGCAUGGUUGUCGUCAGCUCGUGCCGUGAGGUGUCGGCUUAAGUGCCAUAACGAGCGCAACCCUUGUCGUUAGUUGCCAUCAGGUAAUGCUGGGAACUCUAGCGAGACUGCCACCGUAAGGUGUGAGGAAGGGGGGGAUGACGUCAAAUCAGCACGGCC
rnacentral:rRNA from 1 species